AUUGAGCGAACUUCUUGGCCUGUGGCUGGACUUGAUCCAAUCAGCUCCCUCAGCUCUCUUUCCUGUUGAAACCCUCAAGAAAAACUCACAUUUUUUAUUAGUCUUUGGCUCGAUACUGUGGUGGAAUCUUAUGAAGUUGGUGGUUGCUACAAGGUUGAAUUGAGGCCAAGUGCUGCAAGAGAAAGCUCAAGUUCCAGGUUUUAACAAAACUUCCAGCCAAAGAAAACUCAAGCAGAUGAAGCACAAUUAGCUAAGCAUUUGCUGGAAAUUUUGGUACUUUUGCAAAAUGUAAUGGCAGCAAGUCAAGGAAACUAUAAGUACAAAUCAUGAACAAGAAAUUUGUCACGCCCCUGAUUUUACACACA